CUACGGGAUGCUCCAGCGGGAAUAUUGCACAAUGGACGGAAGUCUGAUGCAGCGACGCCGCGUGGAUGAUGAAGGCCCUCGGGUUGUAAAAUCCUUUUCAGGGGGACGAGGAAGGACGGUACCCUUGGAAUAAGCGUCGGCUAACUACGUGCCAGCAGCCGCGGUAAGACGUAGGACGCAAGCGUUAUCCGGAUUUACUGGGCGUAAAGCGUCUGUAGGCGGAAUGGUAAGUUGGACGUGAAAGCUCCGGGCUCAGCCCGGAGAGGUCGUUCAAUACUGCCAAACUAGAGGGCAUCAGAGGAGCGUGGAAUUUCCGGUGUAGCGGUAAAAUGCGCAGAUAUCGGAAGGAACACCAAUGGCGAAGGCAGCGCUCUGGGAUGAACCUGACGCUAAGAGACGAAAGCUAGGGGAGCGAACAGGAUUAGAUACCCGCGUAGUC
rnacentral:rRNA from 1 species